rnacentral:rRNA from 1 species
UGUUUCGGCUAGGGGGUCAUCCCGACUUACCAACCCGAUGCAAACUACGAAUACCGAAGAAUGUUAUCACGGGAGACACACGGCGGGUGCUAACGUCCGUCGUGAAGAGGGAAACAACCCAGACCGCCAGCUAAGGUCCCAAAGUCAUGGUUAAGUGGGAAACGAUGUGGGAAGGCCCAGACAGCCAGGAUGUUGGCUUAGAAGCAGCCAUCAUUUAAAGAAAGCGUAAUAGCUCACUGGUCGAGUCGGCCUGCGCGGAAGAUGUAACGGGGCUAAACCAUGCACCGAAGCUGCGGCAGCGACACUAUGUGUUGUUGGGUAGGGGAGCGUUCUGUAAGCCGUUGAAGGUGGCCUGUGAGGGUUGCUGGAGGUAUCAGAAGUGCGAAUGCUGACAUAAGUAACGAUAAUGCGGGUGAAAAACCCGCACGCCGGAAGACCAAGGGUUCCUGUCCAACGUUAAUCGGGGCAGGGUGAGUCGACCCCUAAGGCGAGGCCGAAAGGCGUAGUCGAUGGGAAACAGGUUAAUAUUCCUGUACUUGGUGUUACUGCGAAGGGGGGACGGAGAAGGCUAUGUUGGCCGGGCGACGGUUGUCCCGGUUUAAGCAUGUAGGCGGA